GAAUUCUUUGUUCAAGAAGAAUUCGAAAAGGAAACAAACCUUGACUCGACAUUGUUGAAGGACCGUUUUUCAUGUGAUACUGGGCAAAUGCUUAAGAACACGUUGCACGAUUGGUCAUCGACAUCAAGUGGUUGCCUAGCUCACGAUGAACUAGAAGUCAUUUCGAAAUUUUCAUCAAAUUACGUGCACAACAUUUGCUGAUCCACCUCAAUCGUGAUUGGCCUAAAACCUAAAAGUAGCUAAUUGACUACUUUAGUUUACUGCCAUAAAAAGAAAAACCAGGGAGAAAAGCGCUGAUGUCCAUUUUCCCUUAUUAUCUUCAAGUGACGUAGCUCUGAAGUUCUAUAAGUUUACAAUCGCCACAAAUGCAAAAUUAAUGAAAUUUGAACUUGAAAGUCCUCAUUGUUAAGACGUUUAUUAGACAAUCAACAUGACAAUAAAUGUUCUAAGAAAGAACCUGCGAAUAAGAGCAAUCAAGAAAAGUUGAUCUUUUAAGCUCAUUACGAUUAUUGACACUUGCAGAUGAGCAUUAGGGGAAGAUUUAUGACAAAAUCGAUGAUAGUUAUUUCUACUAUGUCUUGUGCAUUGUAAGCCUUUGAAGUGUUAAUUAGAAAUCUUCAUUUGAUCGUA